AUGAUAGAAAAAUCAAAAGGAAAACUCACAAGAAAGAAAUAUGAGAUCUAUCUACAAUAUUCUCUCUUUGAGACUUCAAUCAUCAUCAACAACAGCUUCAUCCUCAUCGCUAUAACACCAAAAUUUCAUCACCUCAUGAACUUCUUCAAUCAUCAACAUAUUCUUCUACAAAUAUGCUACAACAACGUCAGAUAUAUAUGUUUCCUCGCCUAA